rnacentral:rRNA from 1 species
GAUGAAGGACGUUACUAACGACGAUAUGCUUUGGGGAGCUGUAAGUAAGCUUUGAUCCAGAGAUUUCCGAAUGGGGAAACCCAGCAUGAGUUAUGUCAUGUUAUCGAUAUGUGAAUACAUAGCAUAUCAGAAGGCACACCCGGAGAACUGAAACAUCUUAGUACCCGGAGGAAGAGAAAGAAAAUUCGAUUCCCUUAGUAGCGGCGAGCGAAACGGGAAGAGCCCAAACCAACAAGCUUGCUUGUUGGGGUUGUAGGACACUCUAUACGGAGUUACAAAGGACGACAUUAGACGAAUCAUCUGGAAAGAUGAAUCAAAGAAGGUAAUAAUCCUGUAGUCGAAAAUGUUGUCUCUCUUGAGUGGAUCCUGAGUACGACGGAGCACGUGAAAUUCCGUCGGAAUCUGGGAGGACCAUCUCCUAAGGCUAAAUACUCUCUAGUGACCGAUAGUGAACCAGUACCGUGAGGGAAAGGUGAAAAGCACCCCGGGAGGGGAGUGAAAUAGAACCUGAAACCGUGUGCUUACAAGUAGUCAGAGCCCGUUAAUGGGUGAUGGCGUGCCUUUUGUAGAAUGAACCGGCGAGUUACGAUUUGAUGCAAGGUUAAGCAGUAAAUGUGGAGCCGUAGCGAAAGCGAGUCUGAAUAGGGCGUUUAGUAUUUGGUCGUAGACCCGAAACCAGGUGAUCUACCCUUGGUCAGGUUGAAGUUCAGGUAACACUGAAUGGAGGACCGAACCGACUUACGUUGAAAAGUGAGCGGAUGAACUGAGGGUAGCGGAGAAAUUCCAAUCGAACCUGGAGAUAGCUGGUUCUCUCCGAAAUAGCUUUAGGGCUAGCCUCAAGUGAUGAUUAUUGGAGGUAGAGCACUGUUUGGACGAGGGGCCCCUCUCGGGUUACCGAAUUCAGACAAACUCCGAAUGCCAAUUAAUUUAACUUGGGAGUCAGAACAUGGGUGAUAAGGUCCGUGUUCGAAAGGGAAACAGCCCAGACCACCAGCUAAGGUCCCAAAAUAUAUGUUAAGUGGAAAAGGAUGUGGCGUUGCCCAGACAACUAGGAUGUUGGCUUAGAAGCAGCCAUCAUUUAAAGAGUGCGUAAUAGCUCACUAGUCGAGUGACACUGCGCCGAAAAUGUACCGGGGCUAAACAUAUUACCGAAGCUGUGGAUUGUCCUUUGGACAAUGGUAGGAGAGCGUUCUAAGGGCGUUGAAGCAUGAUCGUAAGGACAUGUGGAGCGCUUAGAAGUGAGAAUGCCGGUGUGAGUAGCGAAAGACGGGUGAGAAUCCCGUCCACCGAUUGACUAAGGUUUCCAGAGGAAGGCUCGUCCGCUCUGGGUUAGUCGGGUCCUAAGCUGAGGCCGACAGGCGUAGGCGAUGGAUAACAGGUUGAUAUUCCUGUACCACCUAUAAUCGUUUUAAUCGAUGGGGGGACGCAGUAGGAUAGGCGAAGCGUGCGAUUGGAUUGCACGUCUAAGCAGUAAGGCUGAGUAUUAGGCAAAUCCGGUACUCAUUAAGGCUGAGCUGUGAUGGGGAGAAGACAUUGUGUCUUCGAGUCGUUGAUUUCACACUGCCGAGAAAAGCCUCUAGAUAGAAAAUAGGUGCCCGUACCGCAAACCGACACAGGUAGUCAAGAUGAGAAUUCUAAGGUGAGCGAGCGAACUCUCGUUAAGGAACUCGGCAAAAUGACCCCGUAACUUCGGGAGAAGGGGUGCUCUUUAGGGUUAACGCCCAGAAGAGCCGCAGUGAAUAGGCCCAAGCGACUGUUUAUCAAAAACACAGGUCUCUGCUAAACCGUAAGGUGAUGUAUAGGGGCUGACGCCUGCCCGGUGCUGGAAGGUUAAGAGGAGUGGUUAGCUUCUGCGAAGCUACGAAUCGAAGCCCCAGUAAACGGCGGCCGUAACUAUAACGGUCCUAAGGUAGCGAAAUUCCUUGUCGGGUAAGUUCCGACCCGCACGAAAGGCGUAACGAUUUGGGCACUGUCUCAACGAGAGACUCGGUGAAAUCAUAGUACCUGUGAAGAUGCAGGUUACCCGCGACAGGACGGAAAGACCCCGUGGAGCUUUACUGUAGCCUGAUAUUGAAAUUCGGCACAGCUUGUACAGGAUAGGUAGGAGCCUUUGAAACGUGAGCGCUAGCUUACGUGGAGGCGCUGGUGGGAUACUACCCUAGCUGUGUUGGCUUUCUAACCCGCACCACUUAUCGUGGUGGGAGACAGUGUCAGGCGGGCAGUUUGACUGGGGCGGUCGCCUCCUAAAAGGUAACGGAGGCGCUCAAAGGUUCCCUCAGAAUGGUUGGAAAUCAUUCAUAGAGUGUAAAGGCAUAAGGGAGCUUGACUGCGAGACCUACAAGUCGAGCAGGGUCGAAAGACGGACUUAGUGAUCCGGUGGUUCCGCAUGGAAGGGCCAUCGCUCAACGGAUAAAAGCUACCCCGGGGAUAACAGGCUUAUCUCCCCCAAGAGUUCACAUCGACGGGGAGGUUUGGCACCUCGAUGUCGGCUCAUCGCAUCCUGGGGCUGUAGUCGGUCCCAAGGGUUGGGCUGUUCGCCCAUUAAAGCGGUACGCGAGCUGGGUUCAGAACGUCGUGAGACAGUUCGGUCCCUAUCCGUCGUGGGCGUAGGAAAUUUGAGAGGAGCUGUCCUUAGUACGAGAGGACCGGGAUGGACAUACCUCUGGUGUACCAGUUGUCGUGCCAACGGCAUAGCUGGGUAGCUAUGUGUGGACGGGAUAAGUGCUGAAAGCAUCUAAGCAUGAAGCCCCCCUCAAGAUGAGAUUUCCCAACUUCGGUUAUAAGAUCCCUCAAAGAUGAUGAGGUUAAUAGGUUCGAGGUGGAAGCAUGGUGACAUGUGGAGCUGACGAAUACUAAUCGAUCGAAGACUU